AUUAAUGUGAGGAAAGUGAGUAAGAAUUUUCCUGAGUUUGGUUGCUGGUUCAAUUGAGUUUGAGCAUUGAGUUGGGGUCAUGGGAAGUUCGACUUUCAGUCACUUGCUCAGAAGCAUGGUAACUGGAGACCACAUGGCUGACAUCUGAAGUCGGGACAGUCUAUUGAUACCUCAACCUGCAGUUUCGGCACUAACUCUACAGAUAUGGUAUCAGAAAUCAAAUGACAGUUGGGUUCUGGGGAUUGGAUGGUGUUGUGGAGAAAACAUGUAUUUGAGGUCAGGUAAAAAUCCAACUCACCCUCUGAUGUGAGGGCUCAGGUGUGGCUUGGGGAGAGGUGAGUAUUAAAAGCAGAACACUGUACCCAGAAAGUCUUACCAGUUAUCUGUUUUUUGGAGUUCCUGUCAGAAUCAAUAAUGUAUCAAAUGAGUUAUGACAUGACAGUAUCUUAUCCUGACCAGGCCACCCACAUGCUUAUAACCUGGGGCAAGUCAUUUGAUGUUUCCUCAUCUGAACAGGGGAAACAUGCUACAUGAGCUCUUCAAGUAGAUGAUGAGUUAUGACUAGGAAGAGUUUGUUCACAUGUCAUGACCAGAUUUGUCCAUUUUGCACCACAAUGUGUUAAUCUGAAGAAAAAUUCUCUACCUAGUUGCUGUGGCCAAGUAAAACUAUUUCCUUAUCAAAUAAUAUUUAUUCCUGUAUUAUUAAAAGUAAUGAAAAGAUGUCAAGCCAUGGAGGAGGGCAAUGGCAGGGAAAGCAAGAAACAGCCCUUGUAUGGUAGGCUGUCAGAUCAAGGCUGAUACAGUAUUACGAAGUCUCCAGACUCUUUCCCUCGUUGUCUUUUGGCUGCUAUUUUCUUAUUCAUGUUUGAUCCUUUUCCUGUUUCAUGAAGCAGGCCUCCUGAAACUCUUGAAGUUUACUCUCUCUUAUAGGUCAGGUGAUGAUUUCCAGAGCACAACUCGAUAACCAUACAAGAGAAAUUCCCAACGCUCAUUUCUCAAUACUCAACACUCAAUGAGGACAAUAAAGCAGCUUCUAAGCCUACCUUCUGCCUGGAGCCUAAAUUAACAGGUGGCUGCAAUGCCAUGAUGACCAGGAGGUAUGUCUACAACACUCAACCAGACUCUGCGAGCAGUUUAUGUAUGGUGGCUGCAAAGGUAAUGAAAACAACUUUGAAAAGUUAGAGGACUGCGUAAAGACCUGCUCUCAAGAAGCAAGGUCCUCGUGAGGACAUGUGAAGAGUGGUUUCCAGAAACUCUGAAGUCUGAGGAGGACUCUUUCAGGUCUGGACUGUGGCUGCAUCUGAACCUCUUCAGUCUCCUCAAAGUCCUCUCUGCUACCGUCCUCAGCAGAGCCUGCCUGUUUCCUUUCCCCUUUUGGUCAACAUGUCUCAUUCUGUCUCAUCUAGUUGACUCUCAGCACCACGAGAGCUUGUCUGCCCUUUACCCCUACCACUUCACACAGCUCCUGGAAACAAUGAGACAGUUCAUAAUUAUUUGAGGAUGGAAGGAAGGAAUGUAUGAGCACAUUCCUCAUGAUCAGAUUAACUGCAAGGUUGCAGUGUUAACACAGGGGUUUUGUUUUACCCCCAUCCUCACAGCAUCCUCAGCUUUAUCACCUUUCCCAGCACCUCUACUCUCCUUGUGGGUGCCCAUGGUGGAAUUUCCAGCAACUAGUUCUCAGCAUCAGUAAUGGGAGAAUAGUUUG